GUCUAUGGCCAUACCACCCUGAAUGCACCCAAUCUCAUCUGAACUGGGAAGCUAAGCAUGGUCAGGCCUGGUUAGUACUUGGAUGGGAGAAAUUUCUCUUUUAGUUC
rnacentral:rRNA from 1 species